UGCGUAGGUGGUGAGGUAAGUCGGAUGUGAAAGCUCGGAGCUCAACUCCGAAAUGGCAUUGGAAACUACCUUGCUAGAGGGUUGGGAGGGGGGGGCGUGGAAUGCUUGGUGUAGCAGUGAAAUGCGUAGAUAUCAAGCGGAACACCAGUGGCGAAGGCGAGUCCCUGGACAACUCCUGACACUGAGGCACGAAAGCUAGGGGGAGCAAACA
rnacentral:rRNA from 1 species